rnacentral:misc_RNA from 1 species
UGGCCGACGAUGUCGUCUGCUAAAUAUACGAAGACCGUCCACGUUGCUAAGGAAUUUUGGUAAGUUCAUUUGAUUAAUUAAAGUAGGCCUACUGAGUGAUAUUUACAGCGAUAAACUUUGUUGUCCUAGUCAAAGAGUAUCCAGUGUAAAGACUGCACUGCAUCCAUCCAAACUUCUGUCAGUCGGUUGUCUGCACGCUUUCGGCUUAAAUUCACAUUCAGUACGUAUUCUGGUUGGGGUUAAAUUUGAAGUUAAAUGAGAAGAUUUUAACUUAUUUUAUUAUUAGCGAUAGUUAAAGCGAUUUAGGCUAAAGCCCCAGUUCUUUUCACCAAAAUCAAAACGAACUUACGAAGGGACAUACUUCACAGAACCACCACUUUUCUCUUACUAGUACUACAUGUAUAUAAAGUAGUCACAGCACAGGCAGAAUUUCGACCAUAUUAUUAUUAAUUAUUGAGUCAAGACUCAAAGUCAAACUUAGUUUGACUGAGUGAUAAAAAACCUGAUAUUUUCCCAGGUUACAUUAGGCUUCAGCCCUAUGCUGGCUAAUGUAAAAUAGGCCUCUAACUACUCCCAGCCAUCGUCACCAGGGCUUCAUUCUGAAAACAAGAAACUUGUAUUAAAUUUAAAAAAAAACAUGUCCAUAAAAUUGGGAGGGGGGGGGGGUUUACAAUAUUCACCUCAGAAUUAUGAUUAAAAUAUUUAAAAAUAAAUAGAGUCCACAAACACAAGGGCCAAGUAGUUUUACAUAAAAAUUGAAAUGUAAAACAAAACAAAAAUUCAAAACAUGAAAAAUGGAAUAAUAUAAAUCUGUUAAUGUUUAAACAAAAUUGUGUUUGCAGUGGUUGGGGCGUGUGCAACCGUCUGUCAGCAUUUGGAUUGUUGUCAUUCACAAACUUACAUUAAAUAGGCCUAGUCAUGUCCAAGACUAAAGUUCCUCCUGAGCGAGCCGCGAACUGGUCUCAUGAGGAGGUCAAAAUUCUGGCCGAGUUCAUUAAGAGCCAUACAGCCAAAUUGUUUGGCACACGCUGCAAGGCUACAGCUGAGGUAGAUAAAGUGAAGAAAGAUCAUUGGAAGAUGGGGGCAGAUGAGCUGAAUGAGUGUGGGGGCCAACUAAGGGACUGGACCAAAGUACGUAAAAAAUGGCAAGAUAUCUCAAGCCAGGCGAGGAGCUACCAUCGGGAGAUCAACAAAACAGGAGGGGGUCCUAAACCACCAGUAAACUCGACAUACGAGCUUGUCCUCGAUGCCCUGCUACCGAUGGCAUCGUGGAAAAAUACGAAGGCGAAACAAUGCCAGACUUGGAAUUUCUGCUAGGCAGUGUUGAAAAAGCUAUCACAUGCAGUGACACCAUCGACACUGAUGUAGAUAUGGAGGAGGUGGAGCCCGUACAGGUAGAGCCAGAGGAGGUUGAGAAGGAAAUAGAGAGAGAAAAGGGCGAGUGCAGCACUGCAAGUUCAAGACCACCAGUACAAAGGAAGAAGAUAGCAAGAGAUCAGAGCAUACUCCAAAUCGAGAGGGAAAGGUUGCAGAUCGACAAAGAAAAAUUGAAAAUAGCUCGGCAACAACUGGAAGCUUCACAAGCCAUGACGGAAGCCUUGAAGGAAAUUAGCCAUUCCUUUCAAAUACUAGUGGCAUUUACACUGGAGAAGCACGGUGCAGUAAUCGUAUCUGAGUCCUAAAAUUGUUGGUUUUUUUUCCAUCUAAUAAGGAUAAACUUGAGGUAACAACAUUCGGCAAAAUAUAUGUAAUUAGUGAUGGCUCUGAGAAGAGCAUGUUUGUACUCGAUGUAUAGUCAUGUAUAGUCUGGUUGCAAUAUCGGGUACAAAUGGGCUCAUGUCAGAGCUCCACUACUCCUACAAAUUUAUGCCGAAUGGUUCUACAAAAAAGUUUGUUCUCAUUAGCUAUUUCCACUGUGCCUAAUUUUAAGUUCAACAUUUUACUUAUUUGCAAGUUGUUUAAAAGUAUUAAAUCAUUAUGAAUUUCUCUUUGUUUCUUUCUUUAAACCUUUAAACAGACAUGUAAAUACAAUGUAGAACUAUUUUAAAGCAUAUCUUUUAAAGCAUUCCUGAAGAAAAUAUCACAUCGAUUGGCAUAGAGGAAAGUUCAUAAUUGUAUUUUGUUUAAAAAAAAUCAAGAUACAACACAACUGAUAAUUUUAUGUGUCGAAAAAAAAGUGAAAGUUUGCAUAUUUUUUAAAUUCCUCAAAUGACCUCUAGAUCACUUAUGACCUCCAUUUUCUAAAGAGGUGUCAUACACCCCUACCCAAGGAUCACUCCAUCCAAGUAACAUUAAAAUAUAUCAUAUUAUGUAGACAAAGAAACAGUAGGGUAUUUAAACAAUUACCUCUGAUGAUCCCUACAUGACCUUUGACCUCAACAAUCCAAAGAAUUGUGUCUUUCUACCCAACUUGGGUCACUGCAUCUAAGUUUCACCAAAAUCCACGAAAGCAUGUAAAGGUUAUCUACAGUCAAAUCUCGUUAGUACAAACUCUGUUAAUACAAAAUUCUGGUUAUAACAAACAUAAAGCCUUAGUCCCGACUGUACA